UAGAAUCAAUUCAUUCUCCUGUCAGGUCGGGGGGCCUGGCCUUCUCAACGACGGGAAGGUCUUCGAGGUGGAGAGGGGAGGCGGGUCUCAGUCUGCAUUGCGGAUGCGCCGUGAUCCCAGAGACCACCGUGACUCCGAAUAAUCCAUCUCUUACAUUUACGAGAGGCACCUGCGACAAGAACAACAAAAAUGAAGAGUCGGAAAGAAUGGCCUAUACUUCCUUAAUAACAGACAGAAGAAAACAAACAUCUUCAAGAAAACCUAAAACCAUUGAUGCUUUCAAUGAAUAAUAAGAGACGAUUAAUUGCAUUA